rnacentral:rRNA from 1 species
UACGUAGGCAGCAAGCGUUGUUCGGAGUUACUGGGCGUAAAGGGUGUGUAGGCGGUUCUUUAAGUUUGGUGUGAAAUCUCCCGGCUCAACUGGGAGGGUGCGCCGAAUACUGAGGGACUAGAGUACGGGAGAGGAAAGUGGAAUUCCUGGUGUAGCGGUGAAAUGCGUAGAUAUCAGGAGGAACACCCGUGGCGAAAGCGGCUCUCUGGGACGGUACUGACGCUGAGACGCGAAAGCGUGGGGAGCGAACAGG